rnacentral:lncRNA from 1 species
CUGAUCGAUUCGAAUUGUCUCGGAGACAUGAAGUUGAGAUCAAUUGGAAUGUCUCGGAGAUAUGAAGUUAGACUUUGUUGUGUAGUCCGCAUGAAAUAACAAUGGAUGAUGGCUGACCACGCCACCAGCUAAUGGUUGCCGGCACAAGGCUUUGGCUUCUCAUGGCCGCUGGCUCCACACUUCACAUGCUGCUUCCCCAACUCUGCUCUCUGCCAUCUGCUCCCACACACCCAGCCAUAUCAGCUCCAUGCUGCAUUCACCUCCACCUGCAACUCCAUGCUAUGAUGAUGAACUCGCUUCUGAACCUUGAAGCAGUAAUCAUGGUGAUGCAUCUCUGUGAAUGUAUUGGGAGAUUUGAACCUUUUGACUCCAUAAAGAGUGCAAAAGGUUGGAGCUUUCUUUCCUAAAGUUUGCUCUCAAACUAAACAUGAGAAGAAAAUCCAGCAGAAACUUGGAAUAAGCAACACUUGUGAUGUCAGCUUAGACAGAUGACCAAAGGAAAUGCUACCUCUUUCUUUACCUAUUUUGGAUUGAACGCCAUGCUCACCAUUUCCAUCUGUUCUUGGUUGAAUAAAGAUCAGGAAUCCAUGAGCAGGCACUGCAUAUGCCAAUUAAAUGUCACGUUGAAUAAAGAUCAGGAAUUUUUGGUUGGUACUCAAAGGCAAUCCGGAAAUGUGUUCUUGUCAUCACAAACACUCAUCCAAGACAAUAAACUGCUAAAGUGUUUUAACUUGGAUCUGUAAAACCAUCUCAAAAGUGAUGUUUUGUUGAUCAGUGAAUUACCACAAAGGUGUUCCUCUCAAUCCAGAGGGAAGAAAAAUCUGUAAGCUCCUUGAAUGUUCAAUCAUUCAUUCUAUGGGGAUCAAAGCACAUGAUCCAUCUUUAUCAUCCUCAUUGUAUCACAAGGAACCAUUGGAAGGAUCUUUUUCUUCUCAUUAUUGUUUGUUCAUUGAUACCUUUACAAGAUGCAUUUUUCCAUAUAUAAUCUUAGAUACAAGGAUUUAGUCAUGAGUUAUUAUUAUACACUGUCAAUUGGAGUUCAAGGAACCUACAUUUAUUGCCUAAAAAUUUGUCAUGACUUGAUAUACCCAUAAUUACUCUCUCUCUCUCUCAUAUAUGCUCAAUUAAACCAGUUCAACAUAGUGAGAUAUAAAAUGUUGUAUAAUUGCCAGAGGAGUAUAAACAGAUGGUGUUUGGAUUGGGGGUGGAGGUUCUGCUGAAAACAGAUCUGAAACUGCUGCAAGAUGACAUUUCCCCCCUACUAAUUAAGUUGUGUUUCUUCUAAUAUGCUAUAAAAAGGAUAACAGUAAUCAAUAUUUGUGAUCUUCAUUUACAAUACUAUGCAUCAUGUUUAUAAUCUUCAUUUAUAGAGAUCAGAUGACUAAGUUUCAGUAGAUCAACAUGCAUGUAGGAAAUCUUCAAACCAAAACAUCAUCUCCUGAACAAAUGUCUAAGAUUGAUUAAGAGUGGCAUAAAUUAUGAUUGGGUUGUUCAAAGCUCAUCAUGCACAGCCAACUCAUUACCAUUCUGUCAUGACUCAACUGAACCAUUAAGUUUUUUUCUGGACUGUGAAAUUAGCUUCAGUUUUGUAAAUGUUCUAUGAAGAGCCAACCAAACAACAGCUUCUAAAAAGAUCUCACAAACUAAAAAUCCAUGCAGCUUAAGUUCCACUUGGUAAUGAAUGUGUGAGAUAAUUGGACAUCUAUUUUGUGUUGUAAACAGGUCAGAGGAAAAAAAAGAAGGGAUUCAAGCAGUGUGCUUCCAACCUAAGAUUUACCAUCUCAGAACAAGACGAUAUCAAGUGAUUCCUUACCCUUGUAAAGCCUGGGGCAUGCAAGGGAAUCUAUGUCAGAGGAUUUCCUUCAUUUCUGAGAGAAGGGUGGCACCAGUGCAAGUAUUGACUAUUUUUGGCUGCCUCUUUUAACCUUGCAUGACUGCAGAUGAGAAAAUUUACCAGAAAGGGAUAACCACAAGAUAAAAAGGAAUACCAUUAACCCAAGAAGAAAAGGAGCAGCAUGGUAUUGUGUGGAAGAAGAAAAAGGCUGCCUUGAUAUCCCAUCAUGAACCCACCUUUCCUUCCAUGAUGAGAUAGAGGUGCCCACUCCAACAGAGCCACCUUCAGAUCAAACAAGGCAACCACAGCAACUCAGCAAGACUUACCUUCUUCGCCAAAAAGAAAUCAGCAUCUUUUUACUCAGAGUGUGUGUGUGUGUGUGUGUGUGUGAGAGAGAGAGAGAGAGAGAGAGAGAGAGAGAGAGAGAGUCGGCCCUUCGUUAGGUAAGUAGAAGNNNNNNNNNNNNNNNNNNNN